rfam:Pteropus alecto contig8656, whole genome shotgun sequence.
GUCUACGGCCACGCCACCCUAAACACACCCGAUCCCGUCUGAUCUCGGAAGCUAAGCAGGGUCGGGCCUGGUUAGUAUUUGGAUGGGAGACCACCUAGGAAGACCAGAUCCUGUAGGCA